GUGACCAUACUGGAGGGGGAACACCCGUUCCCAUUCCGAAUACGGUAGUUAAGCUCUUCAAGGCCCAUGGUACUGCACUGGCAACGGUGUGGGAGAGUAGGUAGUUGC
rnacentral:rRNA from 1 species